UACGUAGGGUGCAAGCGUUGUCCGGAAUUACUGGGCGUAAAGGGCGCGUAGGCGGCACGGCAAGUCAGGAGUGAAAGCCCGGGGCUCAACCCCGGAAUGUCUUUUGAAACUGCCGAGCUAGAGUGCGGAAGAGGCAACUGGAAUUCCCAGUGUAGCGGUGAAAUGCGUAGAUAUUGGGAAGAACACCUGAGGCGAAGGCGGGUUGCUGGGCCGACACUGACGCUGAGGCGCGAAAGCCAGGGGAGCGAACGGG
rnacentral:rRNA from 1 species